rnacentral:rRNA from 1 species
UACGAAGGGUGCAAACGUUGCUCGGAAUUAUUGGGCGUAAAGCGCACGUAGGCGGCAAUUCAAGUCAUCUGUGAAAUCUCCGGGCUUAACUCGGAACGGUCAGAUGAUACUGUUUUGCUAGAGUGCAGAAGGGGCAAUCGGAAUUCUUGGUGUAGCGGUGAAAUGCGUAGAUAUCAAGAGGAACACCUGAGGUGAAGACGGGUUGCUGGGCUGACACUGACGCUGAGGCGCGAAAGCCAGGGGAGCAAACGGG